rnacentral:rRNA from 1 species
AAUCGGACAUAGUACGAUAAGGUUGUAUGUCUAAAGGGAAACAGCCCAGAACAAGAGUAAUAAGGUUCCUAAAUUAUUAUUAAGUGAAAUAAAGGAUAUAAAUAUAUAAUACAACCAGGAAAUAGGCUUAGAAGCGGUCAUUUUUUAAAGAUCUCGUAAUAGAGCACUGGUUAAUUUAUUCUUUAAUAUAUAGAUACCUAAAAUUUAACGGAUCUAAAUAAUAUACCGAAACCUUGUACAUAUUUAAAUUAAUUUAAAUAUGAGAUAGCGGAACAUUGGAUAAAAUAGUAGAGAUAAAAAUAAAUUAUAUUAUAUUUAAUUAAUCUAAGAAUCCAAGAGAGAAUGCUGACAUGAGUAACGAAAAAGGAUUAUAAAUAAUAUCCUCGCCUUAAGCUUAUGGUAUUUGA